rnacentral:lncRNA from 1 species
UUUUUUCAUUUGUUCUUCUUACUGGAGGGUUUUUUCCUCCACACUUCGCGUGGAGAUUUUUUCCUUUCUUUCCCUACUUCACGCAAGAAGGGUUUUUUACAAACAUGCUUUUUAAGGGAAGCAUACGUUUCCCCUUAUUCAUAUAUUCAUUCGAAAUACACCAUAAUACUAGUCACACUAUCUUUUGUUUAACGCAUAUUUUUUUAUUGAUUUAGAAAUAUGGAACGAAACGAAAUAGUUCAUUCUGCUACCGUGGAUAAGGAAUUGCCCAAUAAUUGGACAUCCUUAGAUAGAUUUUCAUCCAAUAACAUUGAGGAAGAUACUCAAACUGUUUCUAAAGAAGUGGAGUCAAUUCAUCGUUUGUGGAAAAUCGACAUGGAAAAGGAAGACCCCAAAGGAGAUCCUACCGUAGUAGAGGCGCGGGUUUCAGCAUAAUAAUUAACCCAAGGUAAAGAGAAAAUUUGGAUGAGAUGGAAAGGAGAAAAAGAUUUCCAAAAAGAAUUUCGAUCAUCCAAUAGACUCGUCACUCAAAUACUAAGAGCUAUUCAUAUACUUGCAGAAAAAGAAAAGGCAGCCCCAAGUGCGGAAAUUGAAAUAAGAAUGAUUCAAAAUCCAGUUGGGAGAUCAUUCAAAGAAAUUGGUAAUUAUAUUCGA